rnacentral:rRNA from 1 species
UGGCGGAUGGGUGAGUAACGCGUGGGUAACCUGCCUUACACAGGGGGAUAACACCUGGAAACAGGUGCUAAUACCGCAUAAGCGCACAGGGCCGCAUGGCCCGGUGUGAAAAACUCCGGUGGUGUAAGAUGGACCCGCGUCUGAUUAGCUUGUUGGCGGGGUAGGGGCCCACCAAGGCGACGAUCAGUAGCCGGCCUGAGAGGGUGGACGGCCACAUUGGGACUGAGACACGGCCCAAACUCCUACGGAAGGCAGCAG